CAAAGGUAGCGUAAUCACUUGUUCCAUAAAUGGGGACCCGUAUGAACGGCCGCAUGAGAAAGAAACUGUCUCUUGAAGAUAACCUAUGAAACUGAUCUUCCUGUGAAAAAGCAGGCAUAACAAAGCAAGACAAAAAGACCCUGCGAAACUUAAAACUAAGCAUUAAACUUAUUAAUGCCUAACUUUGAGUUGGGGCAACUAUAGAUACACUAAACAUCUUAAACAAAUCUAAACCAACAAGUUAAAAUUACUAAAACUGAUCCGGCAAAGCCGAUUAAUGAACCAAGCUACUCCAGGGAUAACAGCGCUAAAUUCUUUAAGAGUCCACAUCAACAAGAAUUCUUACGACCUCGAUGUUGGAUCAGGGUACCCAAACAGUGCAGAAGCUGUUAAAGGUUCGUUUGUUCAACGACUAACACCCU
rnacentral:rRNA from 1 species